rnacentral:rRNA from 1 species
UACGUAGGGUGCAAGCGUUAAUCGGAAUUACUGGGCGUAAAGCGUGCGCAGGCGGUCUUGCAAGUCAGAUGUGAAAUCCCCGGGCUUAACCUGGGAACUGCAUUUGUGACUGCAAGGCUGGAGUACGGUAGAGGGGGAUGGAAUUCCGCGUGUAGCAGUGAAAUGCUUAGAUAUCGUCAAGAACACCAAUAGUGAAGACAGCUUACUGGGCUUAAACUGACGCUGAGGCACGAAAGUGUGGGGAGCAAACAGG